rnacentral:rRNA from 1 species
ACUUUCAACAACGGAUCUCUUGGUUCUGGCAUCGAUGAAGAACGCAGCGAAAUGCGAUAAGUAGUGUGAAUUGCAGAAUUCAGUGAAUCAUCGAAUUUUUGAACGCACAUUGCGCCCCUUGGUAUUCCAUGGGGCAUGCCUGUUCGAGCGUCA